UGGGGAAUCUUAGACAAUGGGGGAAACCCUGAUCUAGCCAUGCCGCGUGAGUGAUGAAGGCCUUAGGGUUGUAAAGCUCUUUCAGCUGGGAAGAUAAUGACGGUACCAGCAGAAGAAGCCCCGGCUAACUCCGUGCCAGCAGCCGCGGUAAUACGGAGGGGGCUAGCGUUGUUCGGAAUUACUGGGCGUAAAGCGCACGUAGGCGGACUGGAAAGUUGGAGGUGAAAUCCCAGGGCUCAACCUUGGAACUGCCUUCAAAACUAUCAGUCUGGAGUUCGAGAGAGGUGAGUGGAAUACCGAGUGUAGAGGUGAAAUUCGUAGAUAUUCGGUGGAACACCAGUGGCGAAGGCGGCUCACUGGCUCGAUACUGACGCUGAGGUGCGAAAGCGUGGGGAGCAAACAGG
rnacentral:rRNA from 1 species